AUGGGGAAAAUAAUUCACAUUAGUGGAUUAGCUAUGGUGUAUUAUCUAAACCAACAGAAUGCAGUGGAUUAACUAUGGAAAAAGAGAGGAAAAUCAUUCACGUAUCACAAAUCAUUCAACUCCAUCCUCUCUCUCUCUCUUCAAUACUCCUUUUCUCUCUCAUGCAUUUGAAGAUCUGAAGUAAAAUUAAAAAAGAAACCCUCUUUUUUGGGGGUGAUUUGAUGUAGAUCUAAAAAUCUAGUUCUGAAUAAAAAUCAAAGCAACCCCAUCUUUUGUUACAUAGAUCCGUUCACCCAGACCUAGAGUUAGAGAGAGAGUGUGUGUCCAAUUUCAAAGAGAAAGUAAGAGAGAGAGAAAGUGAGGAAGAAGGAUGUCCAAUUUCUCCGAUUGGGUGGUGGGCCGGCGGCAGCGCCGCCGUGAGCGGCGGAGUUCCCCGGUCUCCUCCUGACGAGUUGAUGCUCUGGUCGACUUUGGAGGUUAUGGGUUUAGUUGGUUCAAGACUGGUGGUGGCGGUUUGACGGCUGGGUGGUGGGCCGGCGGCAGCGCCGCGGUGAGCGGCGGAGGUCCCGGUCUCCUCCUGUGUUGUUGAUUUAUCUGGUAUUUUUUUUUUUGCCAUAUGUUCUUGAUUUUUCUUGGUUUAGUAUGUUGGGGAAUUUGAUGUUUGAUAUUUUGUUUUGAUUUGGUAUGUUGGGGAUUUUCAUAUGGGCCUCUGUUCUUGAUGUUUGUUUUGAUUUUGGUAUGUUGGAGAUUUUGAUCUGUGGGUUUUGAUAUGUUCGUUUUUGGGUGGCGAUGUUCUUGUUUGAAAUAUGUUUGAAUGAUGUUCUUGUUUUCCUUUUGAAUGUUCAAAUCGUUU
rnacentral:lncRNA from 1 species